AGGAGGAGGAGGAGGAGGAGGAGGAAGGCCCCGCGCUCCAGCGCCGCAGCCAUGGCGGCCGCUGCCGCACCGCCCCUAGCAACGGCGCCGUUACCAAGGAGCGCGGGGCAUCACGGGAAGUGCGUGUCCGCCCCGCCCCGGAGCAUCACGGGAAACAGGGGGUCUGCGGCCGCCGGGCAUGAUGGGAAGUGGGUCGCGCGGCCCGGGCGCCAUGGCGGGCGGCGAGGGGAGGCCGGGCCCUGGCCAGGCCGCCAUCUCCCGCCUCCCUGUGCCUCCCGCUGCGCAGGGAGGGCCGCGGCGGGGCUGAACGCUGGGCCUUUGGCUAAACUUGGUCUCCUGUGAGGCCACCCCGCUUGCCUGGACUCACUGGUGCUGUCGUGGUGGCCUGAGGUGUCCGCUCGCACCACCCAGCCCCUUCAGAAAGAGCCCAGUGUGGUGGUAAUCCAGCUGUCAGUGGCCCGGCAGUAGCAAGCCGAAGGAAAAGCCUAAGAAAGGGCUUAAGGUGUAGCUACAUAAAUGUAAGCCAUAUACAUGUUCUGGGUAAAAAUGCUAUUGGAAGGCCAUACACGAAAAAAAUGGUGGGGAAUGGCUCCUUGUGAGCUAUAAAAUCCUCUGUUUAGCAUGUUUUUGCUAAUAUUUUGGGGUUUAAUAAUCUGCUUAAACUAAUUUUUAAAGUCUUACCAAUUUCUUUCUCCUUUUGAAAAUGCCACGGGUUCUUACUGCUCAGUGUGCAUAUUCAUUAAUUAAUUUGUUAGUAAUCUUGCAAUAUCUAGAGGUAUUUUUAUGCUAAUUUGGAAAAACUGAGCUAAAGAGUGACUACAUGAUAAAGUUCUUUAAGGUACCUUACAAAUGUUAAUAUCUGGGCUUCAGUUCCAACUAAGAGACAACUUUUUAAAAUCAGUCUUGCUGAAGUUUGUUUUGUGCGUUAUCUGAUCAAAAGCAACUGUACAACAUUUGUUGGUGCAUCAGCCUGACAAGUACAUUGUUACACAGUGUUUCUUAUUUUCCUGACCAGGUUUGUUCCUAUCCUCUUGAAGGAAAGCCAAUAAAAGCUUUAAGACCACAAGAGGGCACGUUCUGUUUUUAUGUUUAAUAAACUUGACUGCUCCCUGUGGCAGUCACAACAUCUGAACAGCCCAACUUCAUGCUAGCGUACAAAUUUUGUAUGUUAAAAGAUGUUCCAGCUGCUUCUAUUGAAAACUGAAAUAAUUCCAUGGUGCAUACAGCAUCUUUGUCACUUCUUUGCACUGUCCUCUGCUGUACAAGAGCCAUUAUCAACAAAGGUGUUGAUGACUUACACAAGACAAUUUUCUGCCUUGCACAGCAUGAGACUGCCAAGGUCAUUUUAUAUUAUCAAAGAGCUGGAACUUAGGAUGGGUUUGAAAUAGCUCCAUAUCACACAGCAACAUCCUGGUGUCCUCCUUCCCCUCGGAGAGACCUCAUUUUCUAAGGACAUGGUGACAUGAAGAAUUACUUUGCAAAGCUGAUGGUGCACAGGGGACUAGACUCCUAGAUGAAAACCAAGCCUUGCUGAAACCUGGGAGCUAUUCCCACAGAUUGCACCCUGAAUGCAUGUGGGCAGGAGCUGGAUGAAUAAGGAGGAGCCAAGUGAUUCUCUGAAUGAAAAACAAUAGCAAUUUUUCAUCUGGGCGCCGCGUCAUCGUGCAGGAGUGAAAGAGUUCAGCAAAGGUUACUAAUUAUCAUGUAAAUGAUGUUGUCUUCCUUGGCUGUCUGGGCAGACCUGGGUGGGUGAGCAGGGAUGGAGGGAGUACGAACUGCUCACGGCGUGCCUUGGCUUUGGGAGCCCGUACCGAAACACAGAGUCACGCUCUGCCAAGUGUGUGGGACAGCCUUGCGCUCAUGCUGAGUAUCUCAAUCUGCGAGCCAUGGCCGAUCGGCAAAGCGGUACGGAGAGCUUCCUGUCCAGCUCUGGGGAACACGUUGCGAUGAGGCAGAACGGAGAACUCGGGUUUAGUGGGAAGUGUGGUGGGGGAUCACAGGCUGAGAUGCAAUGCACACCCAGCCGCUGAAGGACAGAUCACCUUGCGCUAACCAGAGCUGCCUCAGGGCACCGUGGCACUUCAGGCAUUAUUGAAAUCUGCUGCAUUCAAGAAAAAUACCUUAGGCAAGGCUGGACUUACCCUGAGAGGGACCUGGACAAGAAGGAGGAAGAAUAAGGGCAGGGAAAGAGUGACUCUGUGGGGGAAACUCUGAAGUAUGUGCUUCCCUUUCCCGGUAGAGAUAUGGGAGGGGGUGAGGCAGCAAUGUUUGCUGCUGUGGAGAUCCACCUUCUGUUUGUCAUCUCACACACCCUGACGGGCCUUGGCAGCAGCACACUUAUCUCCAGCAUGUUGGCAAAUUCGGCUCUACGGCAGUUUCCUAAUUCACCAAGGCUGGGCCUGGGCUGCUCUUUGUGUUCCCUGCACUUUCCUUCUCUCCAUUCUAAUGGGCAGGUGAAUUUUUUAAUAAGUUGGAAUACAAUUUCAGCUUUAGGCAGAAAAUGUUCAGGCAUUGCUUAAGCCUUUAGCAGUUUAAAGGGGAGGAAUAUUGUCUCCGUCAACAUACACAGCGAGUGAAAUGCCUACCAUCUCUUAAUGCUAUUAUAAUGACGUGCUUCAAUAACGUUCCUCGUGGGUUGGGUCGGUGGAAUACGCCGCACAGCUUUUCCUUUCACUGGCGUCAGCUUGGGGUUCAGGUUUCACACCUACCUCUGCUUUAUUUACACCUGCCUAUUGUUUUUGUUAUUUACAUAUCUCAGGUUGUUGAAUGCAGCAGUAGCAGCCUUUUUAUGCCUGUGUAUGCGGAGGCAUUAAAUUAAUUUGCGCUUGUCGUGCAGAGCUGCCUGCUCAGAGCUUCCAGAGAGACAAGCCAUUUUGCACGCCCACAAGCGGCAUGGAAAACUGAGCUGCAAAAAGAGAAGGAAUUGGGCUUUUUUGAACAUGGUGGGUCUUUAAAGUGUGGAUGCCUUGAAGUUGUUGGUGGCUUUGAAGUCAUCUGGGGGGACACCCUAAAGCCAUCUCACCGCCU